CUGAGGAAAUUCGGCAUGCAAGAUUGCAAAGGGGUCAAAAUUCCAAUGCCCACAAAUGGCCAUCUAUGCACUGAUGAAAAUGGUAUUGACUUCGAUCAAAAGGUAUACCGCUCCAUGAUUGGCUCUUUAUUGUAUUUAUGUGCAUCUAGGCCAGACAUUAUGCUUAGUGUUUGCAUGUGCGCCCGAUUUCAAGCUACAUCGAAGGAAUCACACCAUAAGGCUGUGAAGCAUAUUCUUCGAUAUCUAGCUCACACACCAACACUUGGAUUAUGGUAUCCAAGGGCUCGGCUUUUGAUCUCAUUGGAUAUUCAGACUCUGACUAUGCUGGUGAUC
rnacentral:rRNA from 1 species